rnacentral:rRNA from 1 species
AUUGAACGCUGGCGGCAGGCCUAACACAUGCAAGUCGGACGGUAGCACAGGGGAGCUUGCUCCUCGGGUGACGAGUGGCGGACGGGUGAGUAAUGUCUGGGGAUCUGCCCGAUAGAGGGGGAUAACCACUGGAAACGGUGGCUAAUACCGCAUAACGUCGCAAGACCAAAGAGGGGGACCUCCGGGCCUCUCACUAUCGGAUGAACCCAGAUGGGAUUAGCUAGUAGGCGGGGUAACGGCCCACCUAGGCGACGAUCCCUAGCUGGUCUGAGGGGAUGACCAGCCACACUGGAACUGAGACACGGUCCAGACUCCUAAGGGAGGCAGCAGUGGGGAAUAUUGCACAAUGGGCGCAAGCCUGAUGCAGCCAUGCCGCGUGUAUGAAGAAGGCCUUCGGGUUGUAAAGUACUUUCAGCGGGGAGGAAGGCGAUGUGGUUAAUAACCGCGUCGAUUGACGUUACCCGCAGAAGAAGCACCGGCUAACUCCGUGCCAGCCGCCGCCGUAACAC